UACUCACAAAGUUGGUCAAAUCCUUAACUUUCCAAUUAAUGACAAGAAUCUUAGAUCUUAUCUAUGAAUAUCAACAUCAUUAUGCUAAUAAUAAUUACAAUCAUGGCUAUUAUUAUUGGUAAAACUUUUGGAUCAAAUAUAGAAACCAGUGCUGGACACAAGAUUUUUGAAGCAUAACAAUAAGAGUUUAUAGAUGAAAAAUUGAAAAUGUAAUUCCAAUUUUGUAUUUUUCUCUCAUUCAAAAAUAAUUUUCAUCCAAAAAAUGGCUCGUCUUCAAUUGCUACUUGAGCUUCGGUUGCCUCAAACGAAGAUGAAACAAUAUCUGUGACUAAUGUCAUCAUGUAAAACUUAACUAAAAUGGCACUAUCAAAUGCUAUGAAAUAGAACCAAGAACAUAGCAUGUACAAAACAAUAGAACUGUUAUUCUGUUUUCCUUUUCCUCAUCGUUGUUGGGGCUGAUAAGGCUAAUUAGAGGAUGACAAGAAACUUCUAAUAAUCAAGUCAGGUUCAAAUGGAAGAUUUAAGAAAUUGAGUAUUCUCACACUAAUUUCUUGUCCUUUUCGUACUUGCUAGUUCUUGAGAAGGUCUAUUUUAGCAAGACGUCAAUAAUCAACUAUAAAAGAUUGAGAUUGGAUAUUAGUUCUAUUUCAUCAAUUUUGGCCACAAACUCAACUCAUUAACUCUCCACGAGCCCUUUAUUUAGUAUUAAGAACUAAGAACAAAGGCAAUAUUAAGAAAACAAUAAACUUGUUGAGAGCUUUUAUUGAGGAAGAUGUUUUGUCACAAAGUAUCAAAAUUGAUAUUUGCUAUGGUCUCUCAAAGGAUGAUUUGCUAGAUGAAAACAAAUAAGUUUCAAUUGAACUUGUGAAGAACCAGUCUUCCAACUGUCAAAAAUCCAAAAGCAUUAACACGCCUUUUAAAAGGAAAACCCCUAAACCCACACAGAUUU
rnacentral:lncRNA from 1 species